UACAGGGGGUGCAAACGUUGCUCGGAAUUACUGGGCGUAAAGCGCGUGUAGGCUGCUCUGCAAGUCGGGUGUGAAAGCCCUGGGCUCAACCUAGGAAGUGCACUCGAAACUGCAAAGCUGGAGUCCUGGAGAGGAAGGCGGAAUUCUCGGUGUAGAGGUGAAAUUCGUAGAUAUCGAGAGGAACACCGGUGGCGAAGGCGGCCUUCUGGACAGUGACUGACGCUGAGACGCGAAAGCGUGGGGAGCAAACAGG
rnacentral:rRNA from 1 species